rfam:Aspergillus clavatus NRRL 1 1099423829804 genomic scaffold, whole genome shotgun sequence.
GGGCUUGUGGUUUAGGGGUAUAACGCUCCAUUCGCAUACACUGAGUCUUGGAGAGGUCCCGGGUUCGAUUCCCGGCGAGUCCA